rnacentral:rRNA from 1 species
UGAGGAAUAUUGGUCAAUGGGCGAGAGCCUGAACCAGCCAAGUAGCGUGCAGGAUGACGGCCCUAUGGGUUGUAAACUGCUUUUAUGUGGGGAUAAAGUGAGCUACGUGUAGUUUAUUGCAGGUACCACAUGAAUAAGGACCGGCUAAUUCCGUGCCAGCAGCCGCGGUAAUACGGAAGGUCCAGGCGUUAUCCGGAUUUAUUGGGUUUAAAGGGAGCGUAGGCCGUGGAUUAAGCGUGUUGUGAAAUGUAGACGCUCAACGUCUGAAUUGCAGCGCGAACUGGCUCACUUGAGUAUGCACAACGUAGGCGGAAUUCGUCGUGUAGCGGUGAAAUGCUUAGAUAUGACGAAGAACUCCGAUUGCGAAGGCAGCUUACGGGAGCACAACUGACGCUGAAGCUCGAAGGUGCGGGUAUCAAACAGGAUUAGAUACCCUGGUAGUCCGCACAGUAAACGAUGGAUGCCCGUUGUUAGUUCACUUUAGAAUUAGCGACCAAGCGAAAGCAUUAAGCAUCCCACCUGGGGAGUACGCCGGCAACGGUG